rnacentral:tRNA from 1 species
CAGGGAGACAAUAAAUUGAUUGUGAUGUCUAAGUUAUUUAUUCUUAGGCCGCAAUCCUGUCACCUUAAGGUCGAUCGGUACCUCAGAUUUUUGAAUUAUUUUUAUAUUUGAUUCUUUGAUUUCAGUUCCUAAACUUGUCUAGGUCACACCCAACAAAGGUUUCUCCUGGGCCAUUAGCUCAGGUGGUUAGAGCGCACCCCUGAUAAGGGUGAGGUCCCUGGUUCAAGUCCAGGAUGGCCCAUUCGUUGUUGGGGGUAUAGCUCAGUUGGUAGAGCGCCUGCUUUGCAAGCAGGAUGUCAGCGGUUCGAGUCCGCUUACCUCCACUGAAAACUAUCCUGAUAACUAAAUUCUGGAGAAAAAAUUGUAGAUGUGGCUUAGAAUUGUCUAUUUGAAGAGAACCUAGCUUCUUGUCAUCUUUUUAUAGUUGAUAAAAUGCUGGGCUCGCAUGGAUUAUUUCCAUGAGAAUUCAGUAGAACCUUGAAAACUGCAUAGAUAAGAAAGAAUAAAGCAUCUCAUGGAUGCAUAAUUCUGUUUUUAUAAUUUAGCCUUAAAACUAAAUUAUUUAAUUAUAGAAUUCAUGUUUAAUUCUUGAGUAAAAGCCGAGCACAAUUGAUUUUGUGAUUGUAUUUAA